UACGUAGGGACCGAGCGUUGUCCGGAAUCAUUGGGCGUAAAGAGCUCGUAGGCGGUUUGUCGCGUCGUUCGUGAAAACUCACAGCUUAACUGUGAGCUUGCGGUCGAUACGGGCAGGCUAGAGUUCGGUAGGGGAGACUGGAAUUCCUGGUGUAGCGGUGAAAUGCGCAGAUAUCAGGAGGAACACCGGUGGCGGAGGCGGGUCUCUGGGCCGAUACUGACGCUGAGGAGCGAAAGCGUGGGGAGCGAACAGG
rnacentral:rRNA from 1 species